rnacentral:tRNA from 1 species
GAGGUUGUAGCUCCAUGGCAGAGUACUUGCCUCGAAUGCAUGAGGCCCUGGGUUUAAUCCCCAGCACCACA